UACGUAGGGGGCAAGCGUUGUCCGGAAUCAUUGGGCGUAAAGCGCGUGUAGGCGGCUUGGUAAGUCCGUUCUGAAAGCCCGGGGCUCAACCCCGGGAGGCGGAUGGAUACUGUCAAGCUUGAGUCCGGAAGAGGCGAGUGGAAUUCCCGGUGUAGCGGUGAAAUGCGCAGAUAUCGGGAGGAACACCAAUGGCGAAGGCAGCGCGCUGGGACGUGACUGACGCUGAGACGCGAAAGCGUGGGGAGCAAACCGG
rnacentral:rRNA from 1 species